rnacentral:pre_miRNA from 1 species
AAAAGGUGGAGAGGGUAGACGGGGACGAGGGGGAGCAUGAGAUGGGCAGUUCUACUAAAUUUGCUGCCCUGCCCUUUCCAUGCACUGCCUCUUCCCUGGCUAUCCUUUCCUCCAUUAUUU